UACGUAGGGGGCUAGCGUUGUCCGGAUUUAUUGGGCGUAAAGAGCGUGUAGGCGGCCAUGUAGGUCCGGUGUGAAAACUCGAGGCUUAACCUCGAGAUGUCAUCGGAAACCAUUUGGCUAGAGUCCGGAAGAGGAGAGUGGAAUUCCUGGUGUAGCGGUGAAAUGCGCAGAUGUCAGGAAGAACACCAAUGGCGAAAGCAGCUCUCUGGGACGGUACUGACGCUGAGACGCGAAAGCGUGGGGAGCGAACAGG
rnacentral:rRNA from 1 species